rnacentral:rRNA from 1 species
GACGAACGCUGGCGGCGUGCCUAAUACAUGCAAGUUGAGCGCUGAAGGUUGGUACUUGUACCAACUGGAUGAGCAGCGAACGGGUGAGUAACGCGUGGGGAAUCUGCCUUUGAGCGGGGGACAACAUUUGGAAACGAAUGCUAAUACCGCAUAAAAACUUUAAACACAAGUUUUAAGUUUGAAAGAUGCAAUUGCAUCACUCAAAGAUGAUCCCGCGUUGUAUUAGCUAGUUGGUGAGGUAAAGGCUCACCAAGGCGAUGAUACAUAGCCGACCUGAGAGGGUGGUCGGCCACAUUGGGAGUGAGAACCGGCCCAAACUCCUAGGGGAGGCAGCCGUAGGGAAUCUUCGGCAAUGGACGAAAGUUUGACCGAGCAACGCCGCGUGCGUGAAGAAGGUUGUCGGGUCGUAAAACUCUGUUGGUAGAGAAUAACGUUGGUGAGAGUGGAAAGCUGAGCAAGUGACGGUAACUACACAGAAAGGGACGGCUAACUACGUG